GGGGCGGGGCUGGUGCUGAGGGAGGAUUACGUGGUCCGAUUCCGUGAACUUCGGUGCUGCAGGCAACCCUCGGGAAACCAGGUGACACGGGUCUCCGGAAGGAGUUGGAACUUGGAAGUGAGUGAAGGCGCGCGGCAUUCUGGGAACAGUUACGGAGGCCGAAUUUAUGUUGUCUGUUACCACGGCAACGGAAGCAAAAGCCGCCAGGUGUGGUGGUGCACACCAGAAAAUGCCAG